GUCACAUCUCCCAAGAAGCAGUAAUGUUCCAGCAAUAAGAAAAGGACAGUUUUUUCUCUUUUGCAUGGUGAGCCUUAUAUGAAUUACAUCAAUUUUGUCACCAAUAUCCAUCAUCAGAACAUUUUGAUUCUACAUAACACAUUAUAAAAUGGUCACAACAAUCAAGACUAUAUCCAUAGAUGUCCCAGAAAUAAUAUCUGACUAUACAGAGCAGCAUUACCAAGCCACCAAGAAGUCUGCCUAGUAAUGACAAUGAUAACAACAGCUAACACUUAGGAUUUGAUUUAGGACAAAUUGUUAUUUGGAUGGAUGCUUGUCUAUUGAGAGAGUAAUUGUUAAACUAAAGGAAACUGGUCACAAAUAUUUUAGCAAUGGCUAUAAAUGACCAGUGGGCCAAGGAUUUUGAGAUCGUGAGAGACUUCUCUAGGAAUGUUGUCAUUCAUUUCACUCCAGUGUGGCUUUUUUCCUCCACCUGCACUCACUUUUCUAGGAAAACUAUGGCCACUAUGGAGAAUAUGAAAACAUUGCUAAAGGAGGUGAAAACCAUUUCAAAAGAAGAGUUAUAUAUUAGCUUUUGGCAGUGACAGCGUUAUGGGCACGGACAUUCAGCCUUUCCAGUUGACUGCUUUGACGGGGCAAUGUUCACGUGGAAGUACACCUCCUAGUACGUUUGCUAAAAUAAAAUGAGCUUCAUUGCCUAAUAACAUAAAUGACUUUGGGAGAA
rnacentral:antisense_RNA from 1 species